GAUAACGUUGCGAAAGCGACGCUAAUACCGAAUAACAUCCAUUAAUCUUCGGAUUUUUGGAUCAAGGGUGGCCCCUACAUGUAAGCUACUGUUUGAAGAUGAGCCCGCGUACCAUUAGCUUGUUGGUGGGGUAAAGGCCUACCAAGGCGUCGAUGGUUAGCUGGUCUGAGAGGAUGAUCAGCCACACUGGAACUGACACACGGUCCAGACUCCUACGGGAGGCAGCAGUGAGGAAUUUUGCGCAAUGGGGGAAACCCUGACGCAGCAACGCCGCGUGAGUGAUGAAGGCUUUCGAGUCGUAAAGCUCUGUCAAGUGGGAAGAACCUGCAGUAUGCUAAUAUCAUAUUGCACUGACGGUACCACUGAAGGAAGCACCGGCUAACUCCGUGCCAGCAGCCGCGGUAAUACGGGGGGUGCAAGCGUUAUUCGGAAUCAUUGGGCGUAAAGAGCACGUAGGCGGCCUGGUAAGUCAGAUGUGAAAGCCCUGGGCUUAACCCGGGAAGUGCAUUUGAUACUGUCAGGCUUGAGUAUGGGAGAGGGAAGUGGAAUUCCUGGUGUAGAGGUGAAAUUCGUAGAUAUCAGGAGGAACACCGGUGGCGAAGGCGACUUCCUGGACCAAUACUGACGCUGAGGUGCGAAGGCGUGGGUAGCAAACAGGAUUAGAUACCCUGGUAGUCCACGCAGUAAACGUUGUUCACUAGGUGUAGCGGGUAUUGACCCCUGCUGUGCCGCAGUUAACGCAUUAAGUGAACCGCCUGGGGAGUACGGCCGCAAGGUUAAAACUCAAAGGAAUUGACGGGGGCCCGCAUAAGCGGUGGGGCAUGUGGUUUAAUUCGACGCAACGCGAAGAACCUUACCUGGAUUUGACAUCCCGGGAAUCCUAUCGAAAGACUGGAGUGCCCUUCGGGGAGCCCGGAGACAGGUGCUGCAUGGCUGUCGUCAGCUCGUGUCGUGAGAUGUUGGGUUAAGUCCCGCAACGAGCGCAACCCUUGUCUUUAGUUACCAUCAUUCAGUUGGGGACUCUAAAGAUACUGCCCCGGUCAACGGGGAGGAAGGUGGGGAUGACGUCAAGUCCUCAUGGCCUUUAUGUCCAGGGCUACACACGUGCUACAAUGGGCUGUACAAAGGGUCGCGAACCCGCGAGGGGGAGCUAAUCCUCAAAGCAGAUCUCAGUCCGGAUUGGAGUCUGCAACUCGACUCCAUGAAGUUGGAAUCGCUAGUAAUCGCGGAUCAGCAUGCCGCGGUGAAUACGUUCCC
rnacentral:rRNA from 1 species